rnacentral:tRNA from 1 species
GAGGGUAUAGGUCAGUGGUAGAGCAUGUGCCUAGCAUGCAUGAGGUGCUGGGUUCAAUCCCUAGUACUGCCA